rnacentral:rRNA from 1 species
AGAGUUUGAUCAUGGCUCAGAUUGAACGCUGGCGGCAGGCCUAACACAUGCAAGUCGAGCGGAAACGAGUUAUCUGAACCUUCGGGGAACGAUAACGGCGUCGAGCGGCGGACGGGUGAGUAAUGCCUAGGAAAUUGCCCUGAUGUGGGGGAUAACCAUUGGAAACGAUGGCUAAUACCGCAUGAUGCCUACGGGCCAAAGAGGGGGACCUUCGGGCCUCUCGCGUCAGGAUAUGCCUAGGUGGGAUUAGCUAGUUGGUGAGGUAAGGGCUCACCAAGGCGACGAUCCCUAGCUGGUCUGAGAGGAUGAUCAGCCACACUGGAACUGAGACACGGUCCAGACUCCUACGGGAGGCAGCAGUGGGGAAUAUUGCACAAUGGGCGCAAGCCUGAUGCAGCCAUGCCGCGUGUGUGAAGAAGGCCUUCGGGUUGUAAAGCACUUUCAGUCGUGAGGAAGGUAGUGUAGUUAAUAGCUGCAUUAUUUGACGUUAGCGACAGAAGAAGCACCGGCUAACUCCGUGCCAGCAGCCGCGGUAAUACGGAGGGUGCGAGCGUUAAUCGGAAUUACUGGGCGUAAAGCGCAUGCAGGUGGUUUGUUAAGUCAGAUGUGAAAGCCCGGGGCUCAACCUCGGAAUUGCAUUUGAAACUGGCAGACUAGAGUACUGU